rnacentral:piRNA from 1 species
UUGUCACUGGAAACAAUCAUCCUUUGUAGCA